CAUAGAGGGACCACAGAAUUGAUGGCUCAAUUAAUGAGGGGAUGCCAUUGUGCUGAUCUGAUGAACAAGAUUGUGGAAUUAUUCCUUUGAAUCAUCAGAAGAGUUCCAGACAAAAGAUCACACAAUUUUAUUCUUCAGCCUUGGGCCAAUCCUACCCCAUUUGUUUGUAUUUAGCAAAGCUCAAUAAUUUCAAAACAAAGCAUGGUUCAAGGA
rnacentral:lncRNA from 1 species